UUUUUUUAAGAUUCAUAAUAUACAUGGUAAAAAUAUGCUCCAAUUAACCCAUAUCAUGAGAUUUGUAGCAUUACUCUAUUACACAAUGGCAAAAAUUUGUAGUCCUAGUCUAAGCAAACACAAAUCUGGUGAACAGUACUGUUUUUCUUAUCCUGCUUCUUAGUCCGAGACUGCACCAAACGCUUCACUAAGUUAGUCCAGCUUAGUCCAGUCUAAGCCAGUCCAGCUUAGUCCCGGCAGCUAGUCCAGUCCAAGACAGUCCGGCGCAACAAACGCACCCUUAGGAUCUCUAUCAAUAUUGAUCAAAGGAAAGCAACUCAAUUCACGUUACGCACAUUGUUGCUACUUAAAACAUUGUCUAGGAUUCAAUGUGACAUCCAGAAAACUUAGUACUACAAUGCUAAACUUAAAGGGAAAAGUACAGAUAGUUGCCAGAUUCGGCCAUUUAGUGUCCGAACUCCGUAUCGGUAAGUCCGUACCGAUACUUUGACGGUUCGGUUGUGAAUUCGGUGUCUCUAACCAGAUUAGACAAAACUUGAACAAAGAACUGAAAAAGGGCAUCCGGGUCACCGUAAAAUUCGCCGAUGUCAUCCUUGUAGUUGUUGGGGAGACUUUCUAAAGAACAGAGGUGACUUGCUCACCCCCCACAAGAAGAGCAUCAUACUGGGCAAGUUCCUAUUCGUCCUUGUGUUUGUCGGUGAAGGAGAAAGAGGAGAGGUCGGGGAAAGAGAAGAAAGGGGAGAGAGAGGAGGGAGGGACAGAGAACUGGAAUGCGACAGUGGGAAUCAAGAAGAAAUAACAAAGGGAAAGGAAAGGAAACGUCUACAAAUAAAUUAAUUAUUUGUUUAAUGAAUAUUUUAUAAACAAUAUUAAAGAGAUAAAUGAUAAUUACGUGAAGAAAUAACCAAGGGAAAUGAUAAGUCUUUGGUAUCCGAGUCAUAAUAAGUAAUAUUAUAAAAUAUAAUUAUAAAUGUAUUAUUAUCAAUAUUUUUAUAUACAAACUAAUUUACAUUCUUUAACCAAUUUAAAACGAAUCGAACUGAAAACCGUACCGUCUAUGCCUACUCUCUGACGAAUGAUACUUUAUGUUACUACCGAAUCUUGUAUUCGAACCGAAGUGCGAACUCGAAUCAUACCCGUAUCUAGCAACCAUACAGAAGAAUCAAAACCGUUAUAAUUCCUUACAUGAUACUGAAUGUCAGUUAGUUAGAAGAGCCCAAGAAGCAAUUGUCCUUGCUGCUAGCAAUCGGUGUCUCCGGGAUAAACACCAAAUUAGAUGGAAACCCAAAAGUGAACAUUGAUGGGGCCAUCCAGUUGUCAUUCUAGAGGCGGUCUAGCGGCUCACCACUAAAUAACAUUGCCAACAUUCAUUUCUUUUUGUAUUUCAUUUUGUUACGUUUCCGAUGUGGGAUUUUAACAUUCUCCAGCCCAAUAGCAUCAAUCAACACAAUACCACAAACCCAACACUGUGCAUAAAAGAACAAAAAUUGAUGACUGAUUACAAAUUUACAUGAGGGCAGUAAAAACUAACAAUGCAGGUUGAUUUCCACAUUGUUGGUAUCAUAAAUAUUCUCAUUAGACACUUGUGUACCACUUAAAGCACGAAUUAAUGUCUUUCUUGUAUCACCCACUCUCUUGCUAGUCCUAGUUUUUUUGCGCAUUGCAGUUACAAAUUAACAUUGCCAAGCAAUAAACUGAUAAAGGGAAGGGGGAAAAUACAACCAAGCCACCUAUAGACCAACCAAGCAAAACCAGAUACAAACAAAUAUACAAAUAAGCAAACUUCAAAAGAUACAAUAGCAAAAAACCAAACACAGACAACCACAAUCUAAGACUCUUUUAAUGACAGAAAAGAAAACUGACCUUUUGUGUGGAGGCAAUGAGAAAAUAUAGAGAAGCAGACCACCUAUUUGAAAAGGUAAAAACAAAAGACUAAAAUCAAACAAUGAUAUAUCAGUCUCCAAAAUAAAUGUACAAUAUCUUUCAAAUUGGAUGACAAAUUUACAUGCAAUAAGUCACAUUAUCCUUCCAUCAACUAAUGUACAUCCUAUAUUAGACCACACAACACAUGCACCCUAAUCACUUCAUUGGUGCUCUGCCUUAUUUGCAAAUAUAGUUUUAUCUCCACUGAGUUUCUACAUGUUUCAACUAAUUCCUGGAAUAUCAUAUCUGUAAUAUCAAACUAUAACAGUUGGAUUUUACUGGUAAAUAAAACAGUUGUAUAAUGAACAAACAAUGAAAGAAGAAAGCCAAAUAAUGACAAUGAAAAGAAGAGAAUUCAAACAUAUUGAGAAUAUUAGUUUCAGAUUUUGAGGACAUAUUUAUUCCAUUACCUUCUACCCUCCAUCUCCCUUUGAGCAACAGACAAUAGUCAUUAAAUUUCAUCUUAUGGCGUGUGUGUUGUGAGCUUGGUGAAGCCAUGUGACCCUAAUUUCUUUUUUUCUUUUUUCUUUUUUUUUUUGAAAAAAUUAUACAAAUGGUACAGUUUCAACUGUACAUGUUUAACCUCGGUGUUUUUCAAUUUCAGUUUUACUUCUACCAUCCAUUAAUUUUCCUAUCCAAAAUGCUUUGAAAAAUAAAUCCAUAGCUACUAACUGUCUAUAUUCUUGAUGUUGUCAGACCCUGCAAUCUAAAAAUUCAUGUAAAUGCAGAGGUUUGGCUGAAGGAGAGGGCAUCGAAGAAAUCCAGAAAUCCUUCCAUGGCAAACUUAGUUGUACACCCAUGGCGUGUGUGUUGUAUGCUAGAUGCCCUCUCUCUUUUAACAACACACAAUAGCUUAUGCAAAUGCAAAGAGACAUCAACAUGUUUCAUUUAAUAAAUUUACAUUUUGUAGCAAAUGCAUAUGGCGAAAUAGUCCAUAAGUAAUCAGACUAGCAACCAAACACAACAGUUCAAAAACUUCAAUGGAAAUAUAAAUUGCACAAAAAAAAUCUUGAAUUUCCAAACCCACAAAAUACAAAAUUCAACCAGAUUAUGUGUAAGAAGAAAUACCAAGAACUGAGAGCUGCAGGCUACCAAAAUGCUCAUGCUCUUGGUUGUGCUGAUGAACUAUAAACUUGAAAUUGAAAUUACAUAGGUAGAAGUUGAGAUUUUAAUAUGAGACAGAACAAUCCAAAUCAAGCUUACUGAGAGAGAGACCGUGAGAGGGCUGAGAGAUCGAGAGAGAGGCAGCUGCUAACUUUACCAAAAAAUUUGAAAACGAUGGAAUUUUUCAUAUGAAGAUAAGGCGCCUAAAAUGAAAUCAGGGCACGAAAAUAAAAUUAAAAUUUUUGGGGCAGGUUAAAAACUAAUCAUUGAUUAAUUAAGACAAAUGACUGAAAUUGUCAACUUUUCAAAUUACGUAUCCUUAGUAAAAAAAAGCACACACACCUUAAAAGGUUCAUUAUCUGUUCUGAAGCUAAUGCUUGGAACAAACUUCAGCCAAACUGGAAACCCCCUAAAGAAAAUAGAAACAUUCAAAAAGAAAUUCAUUGACGAAACAAAAAACUGCCGAGGAAAAUGAUCAUUCCCAAAAUUCCAUUAUGAACAAUUAUAUGGACCAAUCUUAAGAUGAAUAUAGAGCCCUGCCUUGUAAACCAUCUUUGAGCCAACCAAUUACACAAAUCUAAAUAAGAGAUGGCAGAAAAUGAAUAUGAAAAAAAAAAUGUGCGUAUGAUAUGAGUUAUGCAUCUUGCUUGAAUGCUAUCUAUCAAUGGUAAUUCCCAAAUCCAAACAAACACCAAAUCAAAACCACAAAGCCAAACAGGGCAACUACAUAUGUAUUAAAUUCACAUACAAUUAGAAAGAUCAAACUCAAACACUGAAACACUCAAGCAAUUUAGAUAAUGCUUGACAGAUGAAAUUCAAACACUAAAAUCACUCAAGCGAUUAAGUUAGAUGAUGAGAACUUCUCUAACCUUGUGGACAUAGCCUAAAUUACGGCGAACCAGGUUUAUCUCAGGCCUACUUCUCUAUCCUUAUCUUUUUACAUUAUCAACAUCACUUAAUGACCAGAGCACCCUCGCAUAGGUCACUUCACCACACUUUAUGUUGACUCAAGGUCCACCUGAUUUUGUGCAUCAACAAAUCUCAUUGGAUGUGUGGUCCUCACAUGGAAGCCAUGUUAGCACGUUAAUGGAAAUUUUAACAGACUUUAAUGGCAUGGGGAGAAGUGAGACAUAGUAGACACUUAAGGGGUUAAGUGAGAAAUUUUGAAUUGAGCAAACUGAGAGGAAAGUUGAGUUUCAGGGGUGUUGGAGUAAAGAAGCCAUUAGACAAAGAUAACUCGAGUGGUUAGGUAUUGACUAGACUUAUUAGUUGACCAAUUCAUAAAGAUAGUGGCAACGAGACUUUCUUUGAUGCUUCAGAAUACUCAAUACUCUGGUUAUUUUAAACAUUAGAUCUUUGCUUAAAAAUAUAAAAAUUAAGAUUUAACGGUUAAAACAUCUAAAGUACCCAAUACUCCAGCAUACCCAAAUUUAUUGUAGCGGUGAUAAGUGAUAACUACAGUGCAAUGAUGUUGAGCUUAUUAUUAUAAUGUUGAUAACUAUAGUGCAAUGAUUUGAGCUUAUUAUACACUGCAAAUUAAUACAACAACAACAACAAAGCCUUUUCCCACUAAGUGGGGUCGGCUAUAUGAAUCCUAGAACGCCAUUGCACUCGGUUUUGUGUCAUGUCCUCCGUUAGAUCCAAGUACUCUAAGUCUUUUCUUAGGGUAUUUUCCAAAGUUUUCCUAUGUCUUCCUCUACCCCUUCGGCCCUGAACCUCUGUCCCGUGGUCACAUCUUCGAACCGGAGCGUCAGUAGGCCUUCUUUGCACAUGUCCAAACCACCGUAACCGAUUUUCUCUCCUCUUUCCUUCAAUUUCGGCUACUCCUAUUUUACCUCGGAUAUCCUCAUUCCUAAUCUUAUCCUUUCUCGUGUGCCCACACAUCCAACGAAGCAUCCUCAUCUCCACUACACCUACGUGUUGACGCUUCACCGCCCAACAUUCUAUGCCAUACAGCAUUGCCGGCCUUAUUGCCGUCCUAUAAAAUUUUCCCUUGAGCUUCAGUGGCCUACGACGGUCACAUAACACGCCGGAUGCACUCUUCCACUUCAUCCAUCCAGCUUGUAUUCUAUGGUUGAGAUCUCCAUCAAAUUCUCCGUUCUUUUGCAAGAUAGAUCCUAGGUAGCGAAAACGGUCGCUCUUUGGUAUUUCCUGAUUUCCGAUCCUCAUCCCUAACUCAUUUUGGCCUCCAUUUGCACUGAACUUGCACUCCAUAUAUUCUGUCUUUGAUCGGCUUGGGCGAGGACCUUUAGAUUCCAACACUUCUCUCCAAAGGUUAAGCUUCGCGUUUACCCCUUCCUGCGUUUCAUCUAUCAACACUAUAUCGUUUGCGAAAAGCAUACACCAAAGAAUAUCAUCUUAAAUAUUAAGUUUGUGAUCUUCGCUAGAUUGCUCCAGUCAUUAGUGUGGAUAAGUAUGUAAAUGGAUAGAGACAGGAAGCAAACACAAGAUGUACGUGGUUCACCCAGAUUGGCUACGUCCACGGAGUAAAGGAGUUCUCAUUUAUUGUGAAGGGUUUACACAGUAUAUAGGUUCAAGCUCUCCUUUAGUGAGUACAAGUGAAUGAUUUAGUACAAAUGACAUUAGGAAAUAUUGUGGAAGAAUGAUCUCGUAAUCACGAAACUUUUUAAGUACCGAAGUGUGGUAUCGUCUUCACUUGCCUUAUCUGUCUCAUAGGUAGAUGUGGCAUCUUCUUUGGAAGUACUCUUCCUCCCUCCAGUUGUGGUAUCUUUAACUGGUGGAGAUGCACAAGGUAAUGUAUCAAUUUCACUUGACGCUUACUUGUAGUUUCAGGCUUGGUCAAGCACGAUACAAACCAUGUAGUAGGAGUCCCCCAAGUCGCCGAGCUAGGGGAUCUGCUGAAAGAGGUGACAGACAAGGUAAGCAAUCAGAGCUCCAAGCAAUCAGUCCCAGAUUAGAAGUUUGAUUUCGAGUUCCGGCUGAUUGUUAUCCUUCUCCUUAUCUUGCAGGUAGCAUGAAGGAUAAAGAGAAGAAAAGGAGAAAAGGUGAUAUGAGAUACUUUUGCUUUUGAAGAAGUAACUUUCCACAGGCUUAUUCUUGAACUGGGCUGGAGGGUUUUCUUGUUUCUGCCAGAGUAUAAGGCCGACUGAAGAAUUUGAGGGUCAAAACAAGUCCAUCAAAUCUAGAGUACGUUCGACCCUGCUGAUAUGAGAUACUUUUGCUAUUGACAUGGUAGUGGAUGUAUCGGCACGUGUUCUGUUGCGCUUGUCUCCACAUGCUUCCUUGUAUCCUUCUCACUUGCCUUAUUUGUUCCUCAGGCAGAUGUGGAAUCUUCUCGGGAAGCAUAAGAUGUUGGAGAUGAGUACUCGAGAGCAAUGGGGUUCCAGGCAGUCAGUUCCGGACUGGAAGCUUGAUUCCAAGUGCUGACUGAUUGCUCUCUUUCUCCUUGUCUUGCAGGUAAGAACAAUGCCAAAGGAAAAGACAGGGAAAAAGCAUGAUAUGGGAUACUCUUGCUUUUAACCUUGAUGAUAUGAGAUAUUCUUGCUCUAGUGUAGCUUGUUUGCAGAGGUAUUCUCGGGGGGAAAGAAAGCUGAGUAUUUCGAGAGGCUUCGUUGGGAGUGCCCUCUCAGAUAUGAGGAAGGGUUGAGCAUUUUUGCAGGUCUGCCUGUCCGUUGAGGAUAGAGGUCGACAUAUAUAGGAGUCUCCCUAACAAGGAGUAAUACUAUUCUUUUACCCUGCUUGGUCAUAGCACGGUAGUGGGAGCUGCCAGCUUCACGUGUUUUAACUCUGUCAGAGCACUUUGAAAAAGUGGUCUGUGGUAUUUGUAAAGCUGAUGUUACGUGUGAAGAUUACAGACAAGCUUUAUCCAAGGAGAUCUGGCCUCGAAGUUGAGAAAGCGGUGUGAGGAUUACAGACAAGCUUUAUCUAAGGGGCUCUCGAAGUUGAGAAAGCGGUGCCUCUUCAGUUUUCGAACAAGCAAUCCUGUCGGGGAUCUGUCUCUCGAGAUUCGGAGAACGGUGCCUCUUCGAUUUUUGAGAAAGCAAUCCUGCUAGGAGUCUGGCUCUCGAGAUUCGUAGAGCAGUGUCUCGUCGCUUUUUGAGAAAGUAAUCAUGUUGGGAGUCUGACUCUCGAGAUUCGGAGGACGGUGCCUCUUUGAUCUUGAAGCAAGCAAUCUUGUUGGGAGUGUUUUCUCAAAUGUGAGUAAAGGUUAGGCCUGUUUGCUAGUCUACCUUGCCACGGAGUACAGAGGUUGACCCACAUGGACUUUCCAAUUAUCCAGCAAUGGUCAUGUUCCUUUACACUUGUGGGUAAUAAUAUGGUAGCUAGACCUUCAAAAUUUAUGUGUCUAAACUUUGUUAGUGCUGUUUCUUUGCUAUUCUUUUACCCUUCUUGGUCAUAGCGAUGUAAUGGGAGCUGCAAGCUUCACGUGUCUAAACUUUGUCAGAGAUUUUUGGCAAAGUUAUCUGUGGUACCCGUGAGCUGAUGUUACGUGUGGAAAGUGAAUGAUUGAACAGUAACAUUCACGUGCUUUCUACUUCACUAGAAAUCUUCGACAGAAUGCCCGUAAUUUCCGCAAAGUUGAGUGUGCAUAUGACAGGUGCUGACAAGGCUGAAAAAGCAGGUGCCUCUUCGAUUUCUGAGAUCGGCCCUCGUGGUCUCUGAGCAGCCCAGCUUUUGAGAAAGCAAGCGCCUCUUCGAUUUUUGCGAUCGACCUUCGUGUUCUUUGAGCAGCCCAGCUUUUGAGAAAGCAAACGCCUCUUCGAUUCCUGAGAUCGGCCCGCGUGGUCUCUGAGCAUCCCAGCUUUUGAGAAAGCAAACGCCUUUUUGAUUUCUGAGCAGGCGCCUCUUCGAUUUCUGAAGCUCCAUCGAGUGCGGAUUUUUAUAGAGGCUGGUAUUAAGUUCCAAAGCACACUUGAAUCUCCACCAGUAGAAGCUCCCUUCUUGCAUUUCUAAGAUCUUGAUUUGUCCGACCUCUUUUCUCUUCAACACCUUUGAAAAUGUCUGGCCCCUCCGACCGUCGUUUUGACUUGAACCUUGUUGAAGAGGCAGCCACGCCUUCUCCAGACAACAUAUGGCGCCCAUCCUUCUUAUCCCCUACUGGUCCUCUUACCGUUGGAGAUUCCGUGAUGAAGAAUGAUAUGACCGUUGCGGUGGUGGCCAAGAACAUUCUCACUCCUAAAGAUAACAGACUACUUUCCAAACGGUCUGAUGAGUUGGCUGUUAAGGAUUCUCUGGCUCUCAGUGUUCAGUGUGCAGGUUCUGUGUAUAAUAUGGCCCAACGCCUAUUUGCUCGAACCCACCAAGUUGAAUCAUUGGCGGCUGAAGUGAUGAGUCUCAAACAGGAGAUUAGAGGGCUCAAGCAUGAGAAUAAACAGUUGCACUAGGUCGCUCAUGACUAUGCUACAAACAUGAAGAGGAAGCUUGACCAGAUGAAGGAAUCUGAUGGUCAGAUUUUACAUGAUCAUCAGAGGUUUGUGGGUUUGUUCCAAAGGCAUUUAUUGCCUUCGUCUUCUGGGGCUGUACCGCGUAAUGAAGCUCCAAAUGAUCAACCUCCGAUGCCUCCUCCUUCUAGGGUGUUGUCCAGUACUGAGGCUCCGAAUGAUCCCCAUCCGGUGCCUUCUCUUUCUGGGGCUCUGCCGACUGCUGAGACUUCUCCUAAGCAACCUUUGUGAAGGCUCCCUCUUGUUUGUUUAUUUUGACUCGUGUAUAUGUACAUAUUUGUAACUUCUUAGAGAUAUCAAUAAAUAAGCUUUGUUUCAUUUCAAUGUAUUGUGUUAAAUACAUCAAAGCCUUCUUCACUAAGUUCUUUGAAUUUUUCUUUUGUUGAAGCUUGUAUGUUGAAGCUUUGUGAGUAGAGCAUGUAGGUUGAGGUAGUGUUCCCUUAAUUUCCCGAGUGGGGAAAACUUCUCGAUUGGAGACUUGAAAAAUCCGAGUCACUGAGUCAGGUCGGCUAUAUGAAUCUUAGAACGCCAUUGUGCUCGAUCCUGUAUCAUGUCCUCCGUUAGAUCCAAGUACUCUAAGUCUUUUCUUAAAGUCUCUUCCAAAGUUUUCCUAGGUCUUCCUCUACCCCUUCGGCCCUGAACCUCUGUCCCGUAGUCACAUCUUCUAACCGGAGCGUCAGUAGGCCUUCUUUGCACAUGUCCAAACCACCGUAACCGAUUUUCUCUCAGUUUUCCUUCAAUUUCGGCUACUCCUACUUUACCUCGGAUAUCCUCAUUCCUAAUCUUAUCCUUUCUCGUGUGCCCACACAUCCAACGAAUCAUCCUCAUCUCCGCUACACCUAUUUUGUGUACGUGUUGGUGCUUCACCGCCCAACAUUCUGUGCCAUACAGCAUCGCCGGCCUUAUUACCGUCCUAUAAAAUUUUCCCUUAAGCUUCAGUGGCAUACGACGAUCACACAACACGCCGGAUGCACUCUUCCACUUCAUCCAUCCAGCUUGUAUUCUAUGGUUGAGAUCUCCAUCUAAUUCUCCGUUCUUUUGCAAGAUAGAUCCUAGGUAGCGAAAACGGUCGCUCUUUGGUAUUUCCUGAUCUCCGAUCCUCACCCCUAACUCAUUUUGGCCUCCAUUUGCACUGAACUUGCACUCCAUAUAUUCUGUCUUUGAUCGGCUUAGGCGAAGACCUUUAGAUUCCAACACUUCUCUCCAAAGGUUAAGCUUCACAUUUACCCCUUCAUGAGUUUCAUCUAUCAACACUAUAUCGUCUGCGAAAAGCAUACACCAAGGAAUAUCAUCUUGAAUAUGUCCUGUUAACUCAUCCAUUACCAACGCAAAAAGGUAAGGACUUAAGGAUGAGCCUUGAUGUAAUCCUACAGUUAUGGGGAAGCUUUCGGUUUGUCCUUCAUGAGUUCUUACGGCAGUCUUUGCUCCUUCAUACAUAUCCUUUAUAGCUUGGAUAUAUGCUACUCGUACUCCUUUCUUCUCUAAAAUCCUCCAAAGAAUGUCUUUUGGGACCCUAUCAUACACUUUUUCCAAAUCUAUAAAGACUAUGUGUAAAUCCUUUUUCCCAUCUCUAUAUCUUUCCAUCAAUCUUCGUAAGAGAUAGAUUGCCUCCAUGGUUGAGCGCCCUGGCAUGAACCCGAAUUGGUUGUCCGAAACCCGUGUCUCUUGCCUCAAUCUAUGCUCAAUGACUCUCUCCCAGAGCUUCAUUGUAUGACUCAUUCGCUUAAUACCCCUAUAGUUCAUGCAAUUUUGUACGUCGCCCUUAUUCUUGUAAAUAGGCACCAAGGUGCUCUUUCGCCACUCGUUUGGCAUCUUCUUCGUUUUCAAAAUCCUAUUGAAAAGGUCAGUGAGCCAUGCUACACCUGUCUCUCCCAAGGCUUUCCACACUUCAAUCGGUAUAUCGUCUGGGCCCACUGCUUUUCUAUGCUUCAUCUUCUUCAAAGCUACAACCAUUUCUUCCUUCCUGAUUCGACGAUAAAAUGAGUAGUUUCUACACUCUUCUGAGUUACUCAACUUCCCUAAAGGAGUACUCCUUUCAUGUCCUUCAUUGAAAAGAUUAUGAAAAUAACCUCUCCAUCUGUCUUUGACCGCGUUCUCUGUAGCAAGAACCUUUCCAUCCUCAUCCUUGAUGCACCUCACUUGGUUUAGGUCCCUUGUCUUCUUUUCCCUUGCAAAUUAAUAGGAAGCAAAAAUAUUAUUCGAUACCACUGACAUGUUAGGAAAUAAUUAAACAGAACCAUGCACGUACAAAAAAAAAGUGAUUUUUCACAUACCCUUUUUCUUUAGCUUUUCACACAUUGUUUUUUAUUAUUUAUAAUCUCAAAUUAAAUAAAUCAAACAAAAUCAACAUUCAAAAUUAAACAAAUAUGUGUAAUUAAGAGGUUAAAAAUAGUACAUAAAAUCACUUAAAAAAUGUUAUAAAGGGACAUGAUCUUCUACUGCUAGAAAUUACAUUAGAUUAGACAAGGCCAGGCAUGGACUUGACUGAAAUAGAUUAAACAUGGCAUUAUUCUUUUUAUUUUUAUUUAUUUAUUUUAUUUUUUUUUGUGUGUGUGUGGUUCUAAUGUGAUUCAUUGAAAAGGAGACAAAUCUCCAAAAGAGUACAAGGACCGAAUCAGCACUAGGCUGAGGUCAAGGAAAUACAAGAGAGGAAAAAGAGCAGCCGAUCACAAAAUGAUCAGGGAAGGCUAGAAACAUGACCACCCUCCCUGACCACCGCACACAAAGACAAACUAGUGUGGGCAAGGUAGGUCGAUGUAUGAAUAUGGACCAAAACGGAUGGGGGUUUGGUAACCCAGACUUCCAGACACAUCCCCCUAUUACAAUGCGAAGCAACCCAGUCGGCUGCAGAAUUCCCUUGACGGGGGAUGCUGGACCACUUUAGGAAUUGGAACCGAUGACUAAGAUUAUGGAUCUGGUUGAUGAUGGGAAUCGUGUGCAACUUGCAAAGAAGUUAUUAAUCAAGCUACAGAAAGAAGGAGACACAUAAUUCAACUAAUAUCGCAUACAUUUUGUGAGACCCUGUUAAUUUUUCAGGUGUUUGAUCUAAUUAAUGAAAUUUGGCUUCGAUGUUUUCUGAGAUUUUGGUGACAAUUCGCGAGGAACUAAACAGUGAAUUGGGAUUGGAAAUCAAAUAUUUCAGUUUGAGAGGCAAAGUGAUGGUGUAUGAAGGUUGAAUGAUAAAAUGAAGGAUUAAACUGUGAGUUGAGCUUACUAUAACUCCAAGGCCAAGGUUAAAUCGCUAAAAGGCGACCCCGAGCCAACAAGGUUCGCCGCUUUGUGAGGGUUGGGGGAGGAAUAUCUAUUGUACGCAACAUUAUCCUUACUUUGCGAAGAUUCUAUUUCCAAUACUCAAACCCGUGAUCAAAGGUCACAAAAGAGCAACCUUUCCGUGUGCCAAGGCUCGCCCUCCAAGGUUAUAUAUCACUACGAGAAAAAGGUUCUAUAAUGAUAUUUUAAUUAAGGUGGUGACCAGAAACCAAUUACUAGGAGAGUAACUUACGUACAACUGGAUGCUAGCUAGGGUGACAGUAUUUUAAACGGAUCACGAUAUACUUACUUGGGAAAUUGAUGGACGAGAAGACUUGUGACACACCCCGACUCGAUUAGCCUUCUAACUAAGGGUGAAAAUGUAUAGCCGACACUAAAUUGAUGAUAAAACCCCACUAUAAAGGUGACGAAAUACCAUUAGCUUAAUGAUGAAGCCAUAAGUAAGGAGAUGUGAAAGAUUUGGAACCGAAUGGCUCAUUUAUUAAUUAUUUAAUCUAUCGUCUAGGUUCCCUGCACAAUCUGCCCACUUGGGGACACAAUCUAAAACUAAUUCUAUUUUUUUAUAUCACAUCGAUCAAAGCAUAACAAUAAUGCAUACAACAGUAAAGUCAUACAAUUAAUUAUAGUUUAGUAAAGAACAAGCAGAAGUUAAACUGCCCUACAUCGUAGGAAGUUUGCACUACUGCAAUUCUAUCUCUCGCCUUCUCAACAUACGCCUUGCACUUGCUAGGACCUGAGGGGGUACAAAACAAAGUGUGAGUGGACCAGUUUUAUCACAUUCAGGUAAAAUCAUUUUCAACAUGCUAACCCCUGUUUUGUAAAAAAAAUAUAUAUAUAUAUAUAUAUAGUUGGAAAACUAAAUAAUAAUAUUUACUACCAUAAUAGUAAAUGAAAAUCACAACAAUUUCCAUGAUCAAACGUUGUCAAUCAAAAGUUCAGAAAAUCAUAUCUCAUCUCAGUCAAUCAAUCAUACUAGUGUCUAUUGGCAUAAGUAUAGCAUGCAGGGUGUGCUAGCGUCGACUAGCUAGACACACUUACCGAUAAUCAUCAAUAAUCCUAGCGCCUACUAGGAUAACAUAUCACCUGCAAUUACUCUACGGCCGAAGAUGGCUAUACCUAAUAUCACCUCAACGCCUCGACAUAUUAACACUUCUAACACCUCAACGCAACAUGAUAACACUUCAACACCUCAAUACCAUGUGGUGAAAAUAAAUCACCAAUACUUGUCAAAAUAUCAAUAAAUAUUAUCAUAAGUCUCAUUAAAGACCAACAAGUAAUAUGCACCCGCAUAUAACACAUCCACACAUGUAUAUAGAUAUAUUGUACUCAACAUAGAGGGUAUUGUUGCAUUUAGAAUAACUUUAAUGGAAACAUAUGAAGUUAUUGAAACUACAGGGGAGCAAAGGUAAAUAAAACCCAAAACCAUAACAGAAAAGUGGAAAUUGGCGCCCAAACAAAAACAGAAAAUGGUAGUCUGCUGACUCUCAAACCACUCAACCGUCCAAAGCUCUGUUACUUUCCCUCCAAGAAACCUCUCUCUCUCCCCCCACCAAGAAAUCACCAUGUUUGGAUUCAGCCUAGAAGCAGGUGCUGUUCUUCUGAGGAAGGCCGUGGCUGCCUUCAUCAUGACAGGCUGCUUCAACGGCGAGAUGUUCAUCUCGAAUGACGACGUCACUCUGGCAGCUACCACAUUUCCCAUCCCAAUGUUCCAAAUCCCAAGCCUCCUCGUAUCCCUUCGAUUGCGACCUCUCAUCGGGGAGGACUUAUACUGCACCGAAGGCCUCCUCUGGCUUGCCCUCAGCUUUCGUGACUUCUAUAACAAUCUCAGUCUUUAUGAGGACGACGAUGAUUUUUUCGGCAUCUAUGGCAGUGCAGACCUUCGUCGCAUCAGAUUUGUGCUCGUCAAUAAUAGUCAGUGCCUACGUAACAGAUUAAUUUAAUUAACCCGUUUUGAUUUCUUCAGUUCUGAUUCGUUUUUUUCUUUUUUCCAAGGUUUCAAGAAUUGGGUUUUGAUUAUUUGACAGUUCUUCUGCAAGUUUUUGAAAGUUUUCGGAUUCAACUGUUCAAGAAUCAAUCAUGUUGAUGGGUUCAUCAGAAAUCCUAUUUUCUUGAAAAUUCUAUUUAAAUUUGAUAAGUUACCCGCAAUUUCGCUUUCUGAUUUCGGUUUUUUGUUUCCCUAUGUUCGGUUUCGAAAAUGCUAGGAACUGAGAGGUUUUGGGAUCAGCAAAUGGACUUGUUUACAAUCGAACGUGGUCGGAUGAUCGCACCUGAGUUCCACUAUGAAUAUGAUGUGGUCGUUGGAAUACCUUCGGGCAUAUUUGGAAGUCUCAUCAUGAAUCUAAGCCGUUUCGGGAUGACAGGUACUAUAUCGUUGUUUAAUUGCUUGCUGAAUUUUACUGAUUGAGAUUCAGAACAUGCCCUUUUUUUUUUUCCUUAAUUCUUACGAGAACAUGUUAAUCAACUUCAUUUAAUUUACCGACAAGUAUCAAAAUCGGCCUUUACAAGUCUUCCAUAAGAGUUUUAUUUUCAGACACUUUCAGAAUGUUACAGUAAGUUACUAGCCACAGUUUAAUCCGGAAAUAUUGACAAGUUUGCAGUUUUUAACCAGUUGUGCAUUAUAUCGUUCCCUUAUUGUGGUUUCUAAAGGCAUAACUUAGUUUGAAUGUUAUAAACUUUUAAUAGAACCGAUCUUGUUGAACGUAAUGACCAAUCCUAGGCAUUCAUAGGCAUCUAACGGCAUUUCGUUGAUGUUUUUUUGUAAGUUGACUUGCUGCUCUUAGCAACUAUCUCACAAAUAACAUCUUGCAUAUGUCACUAACUCGACUUGUAUUUGUCAUCUCAGUUUCUGCACUUGUAACAGAAACUCAAGUUACGUUCACUGUGGGAAAUGUAAAGAUUGUUCUCAGGAAAGAGGUGCGUGUAAUUCCAAGCUUGUUACUACGGAGUUUGAUGCUCUGCAUAAGGCUUACCACAAUGUUGUUUUGAUGUUCUGGUUUUCGUCCGAAAAAAAAAACCCGUUCUUUUAUUCUAUAACGUGCCAAACUGUGAUUGAAAUUCCAACAAAUAGUGUCUAAGCUGCAGUUAGGAUCGAAUAACCACAAAAUCACAAGAAUCUCAAUUUCCUGAUCACAAAAUAUAUGAGCAUAUCUUUGUUUUCAUUUCGUGCAGCUGGAGGAGUGUAUUAUUGGGGGUGCUGUGGGUGAAAAUCCAGUUUCCUUGGUGUUCCAUAUCCAUUACAGUAACACAAUGCUGCGCUCUUCAUUUCUGUCAAAAAGGGUGUGGUUGCUUGGCCAGUCCAAUGGUUCAUCUGUCAUGCUCAAUUGCCCUGUUGGAACACUCGGUAACCUCAUGUUCUACGUUGGGUGAAGCAUGAAGGUGGUGAUGGUGAAUUGAGGACUGAUGAGAACAAUUGAUUAAACCAACAGUGAGCAGAAUUGAUUAACCUCAUGUCUUACUUACUCAAAUUAGAUAUAAUGAUUCAAAUUCUUUUACUCUGUUGUCAAGAUAAUGAGGUCUGAUCUGAUCUCAACCGUAAAGAACCAGCAACCGAUGAUGUCAAAUAUACUGAGUUGUAUGUUGUACUUGUUUUGACAAUUGACAUGAAUGUUGAAAGAUGAUAAAAUGUGAAGUCAUUGUGCUCUGAUCCUAUUCAUCAUAAUAACCCUUUGUGAAAAAAUGCAGCUUCACAUGCAGAAUCUAAUUGUUAAAUAGGGGUAAACAUUAAGGUUCUUGUCAACAAAAGUGUGGGAAGACCAAUUCCACCACAUGCUCUCGAUGUUACUUCACUGAAUCUCAUCUCUGUACUUUGAUUAAUAAUUUCUUGUAAAUUUCUCAAGGAAAUUUAUUGAAAACCAAAGUGAUACACUUAGUAAAAGGGGACAAAAAGGACCUAAAGAUAAUGUAAAUAACAUCAAUGCAAAAGCAAAGUACUGUUUUAGGUCUAUUUGACUGAAGAAUUUUAGAGAUUGAGAGAGAGGUUGCGGCAAAGUGUAGAGAGAAUUGGAAUAGUCAGGAAGCUUUUCAAUUUAUGCGGCCUCACAACCUUCAGACAUUACUGAGGCUAGUACAUAAAUGGGGGAAAAGAAGACAAAAGAAACUUUGGAGCUUCGGCAAUAGGACAAAAAUCAAGGCACCUCCAUCGGCAAUCCUCUUCGAUUGGAAACUUAAAGGGGACUACCACCAUGUGCCAUUAUGCAUUAGCACUCAGAAGUUUCGGGAUCACUUGUUUACUUGGAUUUGGCAAGUCCCCGACUGAGAAGUUCUUCCUCACUUGGGAACUUAGAGGAGCAUCGUUUGUACCAUAUUAUAUCAACUCCAAACCACCGAGUACCGAUCAACUAUAACCACUGAAAACUCUCCAUUCCUCCAACUUGGAGCUCACUUGCUCAAGAACACGUGGCAACACUAAACAAUGUUCCUAGAGAUCUACAUCAACCGCAGACAAGGAUGGGAGACUCUCCUCACCUAUAAAAGGAGACUCAUCUCGUACAAUUAAGGCUCUUGGAUCUUAGGAUGCCUAAUCCAGGCUUAAUCCUCUACUUAUGCUUAAAACGUCGUAUUAUGUAAACACUAAGUUAUUAAUGAGAACUUCUUUAACCUCAUGGACAUAGCCCAAAUUAGGACGAACCACGUUCAUCUCGUGCCUACUUCUCUAUCCUUAUCUCUUUACAUUAUCAACCUAACUUAACGACCUGAGCACCCUCGCGUAGGUCACUUCACCAAACAUUACGUUGACUUAAGGUCCACCUGAUUGUGUGCAUCAAUAAAUUUCAUUGGAUGUGUGGUCCUCACAUGGAUGCCAUGUUAGCACAUUAAUGGAAAUUUUAAUGAAAUUUAAUGGCAUGGGGAAAAGUGAGACUUAGAGUAGACACUCAAGGAGUUGAAUGACUUUUGAAUUUUAGGGUAGAGUCAAAGGAUAGUUGAGUUUCAAGGGGUGUUAGAGUAAAUAAGCCAUUAGACAAUGACAGUUCAAGUGGUUAGGUAUUGACUUGACUUAUUAAUUGACUCAUUCAUAAAGGUAGUGGUGACGGGACUUCCUUGGGUGCUUCGGAGUACCCAAUGCUUUAGGUGUUUUAACCGUUACAUCUUUGUUCAAUAAUGUAAAAAUUAAGAUCUAAUGGUUAAAACACACGGAGUAUCCAGUACUUCGAUCCACCCAAAUUUUUUGUAGUGGUGAUAACUACAGUGCAACAAUGUUGAGUUUUUUUUUUUUUUUUUUAACAGAUGAUAUCAUCUAUACUAAUGAAGUGAGGGAGUGGGCUAAGUCUAUUAUACAUUGCACAUUACCACAAAGCAAAAAUAUUAUUCCAAACCAUGACAUGUUAGGAAAAAAAUUAAACAGAUCCACGCACAUAUGAAAAAAGUGAUUUUUCACAAACCUUUUUUAAUUAGCUUUUCAGACAUUUCUUUAUAGAUAAAUGACAUAAAAUUACCUUAAUUAUAGCUUUUCACACACUUUUCAUACCCUUUUAUUUAUGAUCUCAGAUUGAAUCAAACGAAAUCAAUAGUCAAAAUAAAUAUAAGAGAUUAAAAAUAGUAAAUGAAAAUCACUUAAAAGAAGGUUAUAACGGGACAUGAGCUUCUACUUCUAGAGAUUACAUUAGAUUAGACAAGGCCAGGCAUUAACUUGACUGACUAAUAUAAGUAAACCUGGCCUUAUUUUAUUGCUCAAAACUUAGAAGAAUAGUGAUAACUACAGUGGCACAUCAAUUACGUAAAUUGAAAAGGACAUGCCAAAGGUGGCAGCGUUCACAUCAAUCAUGCAAUGCUAUGUAAAAAGCUUAAAUCAAGUAGCAUCGUAGGAAAAUGAUCAUCGCCCGGAUCUUUUUCUUGAGGAUCAGGAGGAUUCUAUGAUUAUAUCUAUUUAUCGUACAUCGUACGGUCAUAAAUCAUUUAAAAAUUUAAAAUUUAAAAUUUAAAAUUUAAAAUUAAAUAUAAAUAGUAUUUAACGAAAAUUGUCCGCAUGAUGUACGAUGUACGAUGAACGAUCACGAUCACGGGAUCUUUUGGAUCCCUAGGAAAAGGAUCAUCGCCGGAUCCUUUUUCAGCAUUGUGUUAUUCAUCAGGGACGCCACAAUAGUAUUUGAAGGGGUGUAGGUAAGACUCCUAUGUCCUUCCCCCGGAUAAGGGAGUCAUUGCGUUGCCAAAAUUAGGAUCAAGAUCUCUCCUGAGCUAAGGGUAAGGAUCCUCUUAACCAAACCCAUCGGGCCGUUAAAAUUUUAUCCAACGGUUACAAUUAUUAUAACUUUUAGAUGAGCCACCCUAGCCUUCACUCCCAAGAACUUUUCUUCUAGCAUUUGAAUCGUAUGCAACUUGCAACGAAGUUAAUAAUCAAGCUACAGAAAGAAGAAGACACAUAAUUCAACCAUUAUCGGAAACAUUUUGUGAGACCCUGUUAAUUGUUCAGGUGUUGAUCUAAUUAAUGAAAUUUGGCUUUGAUGUUUUUCGAGAUUUUGGAGACAAGUCGAGGAACUAAACAGUGAAUUGGGAUUGGAAAAAUCAAAUAUUUCAGUUUGAGAGGCAAAGUGAUGGUGUGUGACGAUUGAAUGAGAAAAUGAAGGAUUAAACUGUGAGUUGAGCUUACUAUAACUCCAAGGCCAAGGUUAUAUAUCACUAAAGGGUGGCCCUAAGUCAAUAAGGCUCCCUGCUUUGCGAGGGUCGGAAGAGGAAUAUCUAUUGUACGUAGUCUUACUCUUGUUUGCAAAGAUACUGUUUCCACAACUCAAACCCAUGACCUUUUGGUCACAAAGAAGUAACAUUUCCGUUGCGCUAAGGCUUGCUGUCCAAGGUUAUAUAUAACUACGAGAAAAAAAGUUCGAUAAUGAGAUUUUAAGGUGGUGGCCGAAACCAACUGUUAGGAGAGAAACUUACGGACAACUGGAUACUAGCUUUUGUGACAGUAUCUCAAACGUAUCACGAUAUACUUAUUAGGGAAAUUGAUGCACAAGAAGACUCGUUGAAAUUUAGCACUCGAAGAAUCAAAGGAUCAUCACAAAUCCAUAGCACAAGUUUUUUUUAGAUUCAGCUCAGCAUAAGAUCCUUCAAUUACCUUCACAAACAUACGUUACACAUCUUGAGAAACCCCUAGUAGCAGUCUCGCGAUGGUAUCGGUCAUAGUUUACAUAAUCGGGCAGGGACAUGGAUCCUCUGAACUAAAACUGAAGAGGAGUUAAAUGACCACGAGAUGCCGUCCAUUUAAAGCAUGCAAGAGCUUCAAGUAUCACAAUUAGCACUACAAUUAAAGCAUAAAACAGUUAUAACCAUCUUCCGUCACCUUGCAUCUUAAUUAACAAGUACUAGCCUCUGUGAAACCAGCGUAAGGACAACGAAUAAAUCGAAGACUGAAGAAGCACAACAAUUUAGGGUUUGUUAAUGAAAUUUAACUUGGAAGAAGAUUGGAUGACAACAGAAGCAUGAAAUACUCGUUCAUACAAGACGUAAAAAACAAGGCAUAGGAAGCAGAAAAUUCGGCUACAACACAUACCAAUCGGACCAGUACCUAGCUUCUCAGUCAAUAUCAUUACCACUAGACGUGUAGAAGAAACAGGUAAGGGCGAACACAAUGUUUGUGACUUGACUUCACACAACACAAGUGGCCAGGUAAUUACUACACACCAUUGAUGCUAAAGAGCAUCUAAGUUAAGGAUUAAGCUUGAAAUUCCCAACUUCGAAAUAACUAAGGUUAUAACAAGGAAUGAUAAACACAUACUCCUGUUUAAUUAUGUCUGUUGUCUUUGCCUGAUUUAUUCAAUCAAACGGCCAUAGUGUUUGAGAAGCCAAAAAGGGUGUUAAAACCACCUCCCUGUAAAAAGGCUCCGGAAGCUGCAAUCUCAUUCGAAGUAUCUUGUGUUUACUUACCUUUUCAGGCAUGAGAAUGAUACCUAGUUGUUCAUGUAAGAGAUAAACAACUGCCUCCUUGACAGAGAUACCUCGUUCAAAUCGGGUAUGACAUAGCAAAACGUGAGAUUCACAUACUUUUUCGUACUUUGGGGGUAAAUAAAUUCAUGACAAAUUAGGAAUGGAAUGAUAACCCAUGUCAUGUUUUGCAUAACCAAUUCUGAGAACUAAACAUGCCAUAAAGGAUUUGCCCAGCGUGAAACUCUAAUCACCAGCAUAAGAAAAGUAUUUUGAAAGCAUCAAAAGGCGUAGCUAGAUGAGUCUUUGCCAAGGAUAAUUGCAUCCCCCUCAUGUGGGGAUGCAUAUAUCCCAUUAUAUAUUUAGCUUAAUUAUAUCUCUAAAAACCAACGUAUUAAAAGAGUGAGGCGUGAGGCGAAACCUCACGGGACCUAAAUUUUUUAAUAUAUACACUGAGCAAACACAUAUAUUAUAAGUGUACACACACACACACACACAUAUAUAUAUAUACAUAUUAUAUAUAUAUAUAUAAUAGAGGAUGAAAACACAAUGAGCACACAUAUAACAAUGCACGCAGACAACACACAUAUCCAUUAUAUAAAAAAAUAAAAAUCAGAAAAAAGGCAGAGAGACAAUAGUACAAGGAAGAGGUAUGAGGCAGUUAAAACCCUACCCAAAAUUUGGGUUUGGGAGUAAAAAAAAAAAAAAAAUUCUCUUGAGGUGCGCCUAGGCAGCUCCGGCGACACCUUCCGCCCACUCCAGCAAAACAGAGAUGUUAGCCUUCGCACCCAGCCUCAAAGGCGUCAUAGGCGUGCCCCGAGAGUAGUUUUUUAAAACAUUGCUAAAAACUAAGAGAAAAAAACUGGUAACAUCUUCAUCUUCCUCGCUAGGAAGCAUCUGCAAAUCGUCACAUCUGAAGAUCUCCAUUGUUUUGGACACAAGGUGUACUCGGCACUGUGCAGCUAACGAGUUUGUUUGAAGCAUUUCGUUGAACACAAGGUGUGCCCAAACUGCCAGCAACUCAGAUGAACACCUUCACCUCUCUCCAGCAAUCUUUCUAGUGUCCACGGGUCAACUGACCCAGUUUGACCCCUUGCGGAUUCGUCCCUACGAUUGUAUGAAUAAGCAUCUUGAUUGAAUAAAAUCAAUGAUGGGAGCUGUUUAAUUUAUUAAUCUUCAUUUGAAGAUCACUUUUACAAAAUAUUAUUUUAGUCAGAGUAUGCAUAGAAUAAAUCAAUGGUGUAGGUUAUUCGCAAGAAGAGAAUGAGCUCAUUCCUCCAGAGGAAAUGCAAGUAUUGUCCCUUUAUAGAUAUAUUGUACUCAACAAGGAGGGUAUUGUUGCAAUUAGAAUAACAUUAAUGGAAACAUAAGAAGUUCUUGAAACUACAGGGUAGAAAACGUAAAUAAAACCCAAAACCAUAACAGAAAAGUGGAAAUUGGCGCCCAAACAAAAACAGAAAACGGAAAUCUGCCGGCUUUCAAAUCACUCAACCGUCCAAAGCUCUGUUACUUUCCCUCCAAGAAACGCCCCCCCCUCCCUCCCUCUCCCUCCCUCUCUCCCUCCCUCUCCCUCUCUCUCUCUCUCUUCACCAAGCAAUCACCAUGUUUGGAUUCAGCUUAGAAGCAGGUGCUGUUCUUCUGAGGAAGGCCGUGGCAACCUUCAUCAUGAUAGGCAGCUUCAACGGCGACAUGUUCAUCUCGAAUGACGACAUCACUCUGGUAGGGGCCACAUUUCCCUUCCCAACGUUGCAAAUCCCAAGCCUCCUCGCAGCCCUUCGAUUGUGACCUCUUAUCAGGGAGGACUUAUACUGCACCGUAGGCCUCCUCUAGCUUGCCCUCAGCUUUCGGUGAAAAAUGAUCGCAAUCAGGAAAGCUGAGGGCAAGCCAGAGGAGGCCUCACCUUUCAUGUAUUACAUCAGGGAUUACUUUUGAGGAAUAGCCUAUGGCGCAGGGCGUUAAGUAGAUGAGUUCUCCCUGGACUUGCUUCUCGUAGACAUCGACGUGGGAUUGAGUCUAGAAUGGACGGCCUAUGUCACCCCCCGAUCCCGACAUACGUCUAGGAUCGACACGCGAUGUCACCAAAUACCCGUAUCUCUAACUUACCCCGCCUCCGGGAUAUGGCAAAGCACAACUCGAGAAUUGAAUCGCAUAGUAAUUUUUCGUACAUUUUAUGGCUACAUCUAACCUCUUCGUUAGACUACCUACGUACCAUCAAUAGGGAUCAAAUCAUUCGUAGUUCACCAACAAUAAACUCUUAUCACCACUGCAAGUCAUUACUACAUACAUGUAAACACAGUAACCCUUAUGAGACGUAAAGCACAUAGCUUCUGAACGUGAAUUGUCAAAUUGGAUUUGGUUUCAAUGUAGUAAUGCAUAUAGAUAUGUAUACUUAUUAAGACACCCAUUUUUUUUGGAAACAUUCAAACAAAGAAAGUGAUGUAUAAACAUGAAGUACUUAAUCAAAAUAGUAAUCACACCGAAUUAGAUUUGUCAAACUAUUGAUAUCUAUACCAGCCCUAACCUUACCAAUCAAUAUAAUUUAAAUACAAUCAUAAGCAAUUACCAUAUACAUACCACUUUCAAAUUCUAUAUCAAAACAUAGAGCCAAUAGUACGUAUAAAAGCAAUAAUCUAACUAUGGUUUGAUAAUAAUUAGCUGGACUAAUUGUAGCAAAUAAAAUAGCUUGUUUUCUUCAAAACCAAUCCGAUUGGAUUGUAAAGAUUGAGUAAGGAAGAUAUGCAUGUACUUUGAUACACAUGUAGAUAAAACCACCUGCAUAUAUUCUCUUCAUAAGUAAUUACAUAUUUAGUAUACAAUCGUUUGGAAAACAACCAGCUUCCCAAAGUGGACUAGUCGAAAUACUUUGCCAAGGGCAGUAAUACGACAAUAUAGCUUUCUGUGUAAUACAAAUCUUCAGAAACAUGACAAUUAAACAAAACAUCCCUUUCGGCUUUUAUACCAUUCUAGGGUUUAGGCAUUUGCAUAUAUAUAUAUAAUACUAGUUUUGCAAACAAUAGCUAAUCCACGACAGAUUAACCGAAAGAAAUAUUAAUAAGAAUUAGCAAAACGGAAAGGAUAAAGAGAGUUGAGAAUAUGAACCCAUACUGCAGGUUGACAUCCCAAGUGAGAAGGAUAUGAAUAUCUUCAACUCCCUUCUCUCUGCUCCUAAUUAAUUUAUAUUCCCUUCCUUCCAUUUGUCUUUUCUUCUCUUUAUUUUUGGGUCGACUAACUGGGAGAAACCAAUAAACUCGUAAGGUUGCUCGUCAGGAUUAUCUGCACAUCCUCUCCCAGUUCUUUCUCUCUUCCCUGAUAGUGUUUUGGUGAUCAGACUCGCAGGACUCGUUCCCCAUGGGUGUCCUCUCAAACGCCCCAAAAAAAUCAAGAGAAUAGGGAGUCCUCCCCCGGAAGGGAAGCGAGUCCCCCUCCGCCCUCCUCUUUUUUUUUCUUUGGGACACUUUGUAUGCGGUCCCUAAUUAUCAAUAUUCUUUGAUUGAAAUCUUGUUAGUUUUUAGUUUUUUAUUGAGGUCCCUGACAUUAAUGUAAUAAUGUAAGUUACUAUAUUUUUUUAAUUAAAAAUUAAAAAUUGAAAUUUGUAAUUGUUUAUAUUAAUGAGAUUUUAAAUAAAACCCAUAAUUUAUGGGAUUAAAAAUAAUAAAAGAUAAAUUAUACUCUCUAUUAUAUUGUGUGUGUUUAUAUAUAUAUACAUAUAUGUAUGGGUACAUUAACCAAAAUUAACAAAAAAAGUUAUUGUACCAAAACAUGGAUACAAUUUCAAAUCAACGAAAAAGAAUGUACCCAUAUAAGUUUAAACAUGGAUUAAAAAAUUUGAAUGGAUUUUAUAUUAAAAAAAGGGUACAUUUUACAUAUAACAAAUUGAUAUAUUUGAGAAUGGGUACAUUUAAGAUUAAAAAAAUUGAAAACUUAUAUGAAUUGGUACAUUUAAGAUUAAAAAAUUGAGAAUCUUUUUAUAUAUAAAAAAAAAACUAAUAGGUACAAACUUAAUUUUAUUUAAUUUUUUAUUAUUUUUGAAAUGUUUGAAUUGAAAAUUAAUUAGAAGUUUAAUAGAGGUGUGAGUAUUAAACCCUAAAUUAAUUACUAAUUUUUAUAUUAAAAAAUUAUAUAAUAAACAAGUAAAUUCAUUAUCACAUUAAUGCUAGGGACUUGAAUCAAAAUUUGAGAACUAAUAAGGUCUUAGUCAAUGAACAAUAAAAACUAAGGACCGGAUACUAAUUUUUCCUUUUUCUUUCUUUCUUUCCUUUUUCUCGAUCCUUCUCGACCUCUCAUUUUUCUUCUUUCUUUAUUAUUUUAUUCUAUCAUUAAUACUUUAUAUCUAGUGCUAUUAUCUUUUCGACUACUUUACAUAUAAUGAUUUAUACGUGUUUCGUAAAAUCUUUCUUCUAGUUCUAAUUUUUUUAAUGAUCAGUUGUUCAUAAUAAUGAGUGUUGUCAAAACAUAGAAAUUAAUAUGUCACACGUGUCCUGACCAGUAAAUCAAUGAAUGUCAACACAUACCCUCUAAAGACAUUUUGAUUGUUUCACAUUAAAUAAAAUAAAAUUAUGGACGGGUUGUAACAACCUAUAUAUCUCGGGGAUGGGAAUCACACCAUGUGUAGUUCGGAUGGUGCUUGCCUAAGUGAUUUGGAGGCGUCUGUAUAGAGUCUCCCUCUCACUGGUAGGGGCUCCCUUUCCUGACGUCGAUCCUCCAGCUUCCAUGCCUUCUUUGACAUUCCGCCUUUUGUAAAUUUUGGUUAGGGCUGGAUAGCAAAUAAGUUGUUAGUUGGUUGAGGGGACGAUUCUCAUAUUGUGCAAUCAGUUCCAGCCGAAAUGGCAUUGUAAGGUGUCACAUCCCAGACCGGCUCCGCCAUAGCACGAUAUUGUUCGCUUUGGGCCCCGACCACGCCCUCACGGUUUUGUUUCUAGGAACUCACACGAGAACUUCCUAGUGGGUCACCCAUCUUAGGAAUGCACUCGCGCAAACUCGUUUAACUUCAAAGUUCCGAUGGAACCCGAAGCUAAUGAGUUCCUAAAAGGCCUCGUGCUAUAUGGAGGUGAGCAUAUACAUAUAAGGCACAUCACCUCCUUUCCGUUGGUCGAUGUGGGAUGUUACAUAAGGAGUUAGGCAGUCCAUGACAUGGAAGGCCACCAGACAGUUGUAUAGUUUUGCUUUAACUGUAAGUUUUAUCGUUCCCAAGGUCUGUAUUGAAAGCCCAUUAAGGGUUUGGAGGUAGCCUUUUUCUUAUUGGCGUCAUCGAGAAUGCCCAUUUCUUCAGCUGCACCCUUAAAGAGGAUACUUACUUCUGAUAUAUUAUUUAUGAAAACUCGACUAACCAUAGAUUUUAAGAUCUGCAGUUUGACAACAAGAACACCUUCACGAGGGAGGGGUUAACAACUUCCAAACCCCCGUUGGAAAACCUCAAGGUAUUAGGGCUGAUAGGUGGUGGCUCUUUGAUUGGAGCCACCGUUCAAGGUUUUCUACAUGCUGCCUCUUUCUCCUUUCGAGUCAUUCUUAAGUGUUCCUACUUUCCGUUUAUGCGAUUGAUUCUAAAGAAUGGUCAUUUCCUGAUUAUCGAAUUGGGAGAAGGUUCUAAGCUUUUUAAGGCUUCUUGCGUCGCAUUUUGGGAGUAGGUAGUUGGAGCCACGCAUUUGAGCUUAGACCAACAAUUCUUGUUUGAGUUUGAGUGGGCACUGCUUGGACCAUAGGCCUUAAAAUGGGAGACGGUGUCUUUGAUGUUUUUCACUCGAGUCUUAAGAUUAGUGAGUCUCACCUAUUUUUUGCCUUGUGAACUUCUUCGAAGAUCUUUUAAAGACGCAUGUAUCUUUAACAUGCUUUCCCACACUUGGUCCAUGAAGAAAGAAUUCUCGUCGAACAGGGUGAUGACAGAAUCAUAGUGUGAUCGUUUGGGAUGAGCUUCUAUUGAGGUAAAGUGAUCUAGUUGAGAGGAAUAUGAGUUCACUCUCAACAAGAGCAUCAAUUGUUGGAACCAAUUUCAAGCACCGUUGUGGAUGGUGGAGGCACAAAUCCAAAUACCCAAUAAAACAUGAAACAACCAUGAGCAAGCCUAAGACCGUUUGAGGAGAUUGUGGGUGUGUGAUGGCCAAAGGUUCUCUGAUGGUCAAGUUAGUAAGCAAGUAUAAGACUCAAGAAAUGGGCAAGAGAAUUAGAGUGCAAUGAUUGUGUUACCAGACGCGGGCUCUAAAAUGGUGUAUUUAUACAUGUCGGGGGUGAUGCCUUUUUGGGAUAAAAUUCUUGUUCUAAGCCGGGAGAACCCUAGAGGAUAUUUAGAAGUAGAUAUUGCAUCAUAUUUAGGAGUAUGAUUACUUACAGCGCAUGCUAAUUUUGAGAUUGUUGGAACUCCAAGACAUAUAGAGGAUCUGGCUGAUUCCGCAUUGAAUCAGAUCAUCGUAUCUUACCGAACAAACAUGGUCUUUCUCAACGAAGUCCCUUAGACUUCACCCACUGCUCCAGAACAGGAUGAUGAUGGCACCGUUGGUCCGUUAAUCCAGCUUUGCUUAGAGCCGUUAAGUCCAUUAUCUGACUUCUGAGGUAACUGUAUUCACAUCCAUUUACUCCGACCCUGGUAAUUCAUGGCCCCACUUGAAAAAUUAAAAUAUUCUACCAAAAAAAGCAGUGCAAUUAAAGAAUGAAAGAGAUUUAAGCACCUGAUUUUGUCACCUUCCAUCUUAAUAACAACUAAGAAGAAAAAUUGUUUAUCCUUUGUUAACGAAAAGUAAUUUGGAAAAAGAUCAAAGCACAAUGAAAGCAUAAAACACAGCAAUUGCAAAUUAAGAAUAACACAUUAAAGAGACCUUCCCUCUAUUUAAGGACGAUUCUCAUCGUUCAUGUGAGUGGUUUCAAAUUGCAUUCAAUUCUUGUGCCGCUGAUCCUAUCUGCGGUUGGGGCCCGUGGAGGUUCUUUCCUUUCUUUCUUUGUCUCCUAUUUUCCUCCCUUCCAUUCAUUUUUUCCCAUUGCUCUUCAGUUAGAUUGGCCAUUUUCUCACCCUAUAGGUGUCUCUCAUUUUUAUUCAUCUAAGAUCCAAUCUUCAGUCAAGUUUCACCACGAUUUGUUGUGGUUCAUCGAGUUGGUGAAUAAAGAUCCAGUGCUUCCACCAGCUCGGAUGUUCUUAACACCACCAUCGUUUCUUUGUUGUCUUUCUUUGUUGGUAAUAUUGCUCGUAGAAUCACACAUGCUUCUUUCACUUGGUUGCUGCGAUGAUUGGGGUUGGAUGAUGAGAUUUGAUGAGGUGAUGCUUGAUUGGGGGUGAGGAUUUGUGAGGAUCGACAAACAAUGUUGUGGCGGUGGUUGCAGUGGUGGUCUUAGUUGGUUUUAGAUUUCUUUUUGUUUUAGGCCUCAACUUUUGGUUGGACUUCUUUUGGUUUGUUUGGUUGGCCAAAUUUUGCUUGUUUGAGCCUUUGUCUUGAAUGUUCUUGUUAUUGGUAAUAAAUUUCAUCUUUGUAAAAAUAAAAAAAAGAAUAAAACAUUAAAUUAGAUUAGCCGAUGCGAAACUUUGAACCAAUAAGAAAUAUCUAAUUUCAGACGAAAAAGAAUACAUAGACAACCACCAUGGUUCUGCUAUUUUUGGACCUUGAUUCCAACGAUGAAGAAAGAGAAAAUGACUCUCUCCAUUUCCCACAUGACCAACUCUCCAUUUUUCUUUUUCUUUUUUUUUAAUUGUUGUCCAAUCAGGUUGUGACACUAGCAUUUUAAUUAAUAAAGGGAUAAUAUAUUACUCAACCAAUACUUUUUAUACCAUGUUUGACACCAUUAUUUCUUUUAAAAUUCACUAUGUAUUCAUACUUUUGAAAAUAUUUCAUUAAAAAAUACUACUAAAGUACUAUAACUUGAACUUUCAUCUCAAACCAUCAAAUUCGCUAAAAUACUAAAGCAAACAUUAUCAUUCGUUCUCACUACAAGUGUAGUUUUUUAAGUAUAAAUAUGCACUUAUUUAUAUGAUAUAUAAUAAAUUUACCUAAAUCUGCCUAGUCCACCUAGGCGCAUAGAGCCCGCCACUAGACUAGCUCUUAGUGUACUUUGAUUAAAAUCACCCGAUGUUAGAAUUCUGAAUCCAUUACUGGUGGUAAGCAUUACCACCACUUGAGGGUGGUAAGCAAAAAUGCACAAAAAAACUGAACUUAUAACAAAGGAAAUGAGAAACACACAUCCCUGUUUAAUUAUGUCAUUUGUCUCUAAUUGAUUUAUAGAAAUAAAAAGUAGUAUGUAAAGAGCUAAAAAUGUUGUGAAAAUAACCUCUACUCAUGAAAACCGCCCAACUCAACUCACCUAAAAAGGUUUUGGGUGGUUUGGUUUGUCCAUUUUCUUGUAUAGCAACGGAUUUGGAAAACUCUGACCGAACUUAUUGGAUUGGCCAACAGAUUAAAGUACUAUCCAACCAAUUCACUGAUGGCCACUCCUAUUGGAUCAUUUAUUAAUUUGUAAUCAUAAUGAAAGAAAUUGAAUUGAAGAAGAAUUGAAUUGAGGAGUUGGAAUGAUGAGAAGUUAUAAUUGGAUUCCUAUAGAAGUAGUUUACUAAAGUAUUCUGGAAAUUGGAGAACGAAUGAUAAUGUUUUCAUGUAAGUUGAUUACUAAUAUACCUGAAUCAGAAUUUAAAAAAAAAAAGAAAAAAGAAAAAAAAGCCUAAUAUGAUUAUAUUUGAUGUGGGAGUUUAGACCAUCUUCAACCGUUGGGUUAAAAUCUAAAAUUUUUAACCCAAAAAAUUUAGGUUUUAAUCCUGUUGAUGCACAAAACCGGAGGUCUUGGAACAACGUAAAUCCGACCGUGAAUCUGCAUGAAAUGUAAAUAACACAAGAUGUAUCGUGGUUCACCCCAAGGUUUGGGUUACGUCCACACUGAUUGUAUUGUAUUUAUCUGAGAGGUGAGGGAGAGAACCUCUGUAAUGAUAGGAGAUGUGAGAGGGGUGAGAAGGCUCCAGAAAUGGCCUCCUCUAAUUGUGAGGGUGAGGGGUCCUUUUAUAGAAUAAGGACUCCUCACUUAUUACAUAUUUGCCAUUUCCUUUAUCACAUAAUUACAUUUAAGUCCCCCGAGUAUUUGUACGAGAUUUAAAUAUGAGGCCUUAAAUAUGGUAUAAACAGUAGCCCCCCAAGUCUUCAGUCAAGAGAAUCUUUUGGCUGGAGACUUGAAAUUCAAUCCAUGUGUGGGUCAAAGUAACUAGAUGUUGUCUUGAACUGAUGUUCGAUAUGAGGCGGUGCUCAAUCUGAAAUGAUGCUCAACUAGAAGUAGCACAUGCUGCGAGGUUGCUCGGCUCAUGGCUUAUGUUGCCUUGGUUGGCUCGGCUUGUGGCGUUUGAAGGUGAAGAAGUCCUUUUUAUAGAAUAAGGGUUCGCUCCUUAAUACAUAAAUGAUGGGAUAGAGUUGAUGCUCACGGCGAGGUGGUUGCUUAGUAGGCGGCGAUGCUCUCUAAUGGUGGUGAGGGAGUCCAUUUUAUAGAAUAAGGGCUCGCUCCUCAAUACAUAAGUUAUGGGUUAUGAGUGAUGUUCGCGGCGAGGCGGUUGCUCAGAUGGCGGCGUUGCUCUCUAAUGAAGGUGAAUGAGUCAUUUUUAUAGAAGAAGGGUUCGCUCCUCACUACAUAAAUGAUGGGCUAGAAGUGAUGCUCGCGGUGAGGCGGUUGCUCAGAUGGCGGCGUUGCUCUCUAAUGAAGGUGAGGGAGUCCCUUUUAUAAAAUAAGGGCUCGCUCCUCAAUACAUGAAUAAUGGGUGCUUUCUAAUGAAAGUGAGGGAGUCUCUUUUAUAGAAUAAGGGCUCGCUCCUUAAUACAUAAAUAAUGGGCUAAGUCCCUCAAGUAUUUUUCAUGAGGCCUAGUUGAAGCCCAAUAUAUGGUACAUAAUGUAGUCUCCCAAGUCUUCGGUCAAUAGAGUCUGUUGGCUGGAGACUUCAAAUUGAAUCCAUGUAUGGGCCGAAGUGGCGGUUGUUCGGAUACGGUAUUUGUAUACCUUGCAUUGAAGCUUUGUAGGUGAAGAUUUGCAAGUGAAGCUUUGAAGCUAGAGCUCUGUAAAUGAAGCUUUCGAAGCUGGAUGUAAAUGAAGCUUUUGAAGCUAGAGCUCUGUAAAUGAAGCUUUUGAAGCUGAUUGACAUGAGUGAUGCUCAUGAAUGUUUAUGUUGAUUGACAUGAGUGAUGCUCAUGGAUGUUGUCAUGAGUGAUGCUCAUGAAUGUUAACAUGAGUGAUGCUCAUGAAUGUUGACAUGAAUGAUGGUCAUGAAUGUUUAUGUAUGAUUGUCAUAAGUGAUGCUCAUGAAUGUUUAUGUAUGAAUGACAUGAGUACUGCUCAUGUAUAAUUUGGAGUACUGGGCGUACUUUUGAUCACCUGGUUGGUGGCAUGAAAGGGAGUACGGCUUGUACAUUUCAUCACCUAGUUAGUGGCAUGAAUGGCUAGUUGCCAAAUGAUAUUAGAGUACGGGUUGUACAUUUCAUCACCUGGUUGGUGGUAAUAGCGACAGGUUGCCGAAUAAUUGUGGAGUACUUGGCGUACUUUUGAUCACCUGGUUGGUGGUAAUAGCGGCAGGUUGCCAAAUAAUUGUGGAGUACUGGGCGUACUUUUGAUCACCUGGUUAGUGGUAUUUUGGGCUUAUGGGCCUUCGCCCUCUACACAACAUUCCAGCCCAUUUAUUUUGGGCUUUGCCCUUUUCUUUUAAUUUUUUUUAAAAUUUUUUAUUUUACCCUUUGAUGGGGUUUAUACAGAUAUUUCCGAAAGAUAAGGAAAAUAAAUUACAUCAUUUUGGUGAGGUGUUUAUUCCUUGCUUUUGCAGUGUCCCCAUAUGCCUCCCUUUUGCUUUCCUCUUUUCUGCUUUUGUUUCUUUUCCCGUAGCUUUACUGAUGUUAUCACGAGAGAAAAUGGUUUUGCCCGUUAUGGCAGUGGCAACUUUAUGUCAGCUGCCCGCACAUUGCCUUUGUGAACAAGACUCUUGCAACUUGCGUCAACAUUUUCCAAGUCAUAUGGUUCCACACCCCAUGCUUCAGUAUCCUCUUCUUUCUUUUAGCAUAUGGCAGACAAUAAUAAUAUGAUUAAUCAUAAAAAACUUAUCUUCUUCUUUUAGCAUAUGGCAGACAACAAUAAUAUGAUUAAUCAUAAAAAACUUAUCUCAUUCGUUGCAAACCAAUCAGGUUGGGAAGAUGACCACUGCAGAUCCAGGUGGAGGAGAAUGAUGACUCCAGCGGCCUCCCGGUUAAUCGAACCACGGUCCGCGUCAGUCGUCGGGUUUGUUCAACCUGAGUCAGCUGCAAUGAAAGAGUGACUUAGUUUCAGUCGCGGCGUUUCUGGGACUUUAGUUUCGUUCCGGGAACCAAUGGAUGCGCGAAAGAUCUUCUCGGCGGCGACGAAAUCGAGGGGCUUGGGAGGAUUGACGGAGGAUUUGUGGCACCAGCUGAGAAUGGCGGACCAGAGGGCGAGGUUGAAGAUUACGAAUGAGAGAUCUGGCGAUGGAGGGUCUGGGAAAGCAGGCGUGAAGCUGAGGGACUUGCAACUUGGACGCAGGCGCGUUCGAAGGUGUGGACGGAUGAAACAAUGACGGGGUCUACCAUUAGAAAAUCGGAGAUUGGACAGACGAACUCUUUGGGAGCUUGCGGCUUUGAAGUUUUCAACGAAACUGCAGACGACGACCUCUGAACAAGCUUCCAUCUUCGCCGGGUCUCGUGCUUGCUCUGCUCAUCUCCGCCACUCUCUCCGAUGUCGCGAAAGCCCAUUCGUUCUCUUUUGAUUUGUGGACCAUCAACUUCAUAAAAGCUUCCUUGAAAAAGUGGGGAGUUGCUUUCCUGAAGGAUUGCCUUUCAAUAGGCGUUCUACCUGUCAAUAGUUCCAACAUGACUACUCCAAAACUGUAAACAUCACUCUUUCCUGUAAACGUUGAUGGCCUUGUGCAUUCUGGAGUAUUGCAUCCCAUCCAGAGGUUUUGGGGUAAAGAAAGGAUUGAGAUCGAUGUCAAGAAAAAUAUUGGAUAAUUUGAUGUUCUUGUGAACUGUGGAUGGAAAGCAAACAUCAUGCAGGUACCUGGAAACAAGUUACAAAGAGUUUAUUACAAUUAUUAGUCCGGGCCUUUUAACGGUCCGCCUAAGCUGCAUGCACCAAAGAGACCAGCCCAUUCAAAGUAACCGUCGGCAAGCUCGGGCUCAACAAGGUGCCCAGCGAAUAAGGCCUUGUUCUUGGCCUCGAUCAUCUACACCCAGCGAACAAGUUUGUUGUUCUGAGAAAUCAAACUUGAGAGAGAUAGAGAGAGAGAGAGAGAGAGAGAGAGAGAGAGAGAGAGAGAGAAAGAGAGAGAGUUGAGCGUCUCUUGGGUUUUGCAGAUACACGGUGGACAGUGAUGAGGUUGUGAAGGUUUCACGGUGGUGAGAUGAAAAAUUGAGAGAGAACCGAUGUAGCUUUUCGUAUCGAUUCCCACAGACGGUGCCAAAUGUUAAUGCACAAAACCGGAGGUCUUGGAACAACAUAAAUCCGACCGUGAAUCUGCAUGAAAUGUAAAUAACACAAGAUGUAUCGUGGUUCACCCCAAUGUUUGGGCUACGUCCACACUGAUUGUAUUGUAUUUAUCUGAGAGGUGAGGUAGAGAACCUCUGUAAUGAGAGGAGAUGUGAGAGGGGUGAGAAGGCUCCAGAAAUGGCCUCCCCUAAUUGUGAGGGUGAGGGGUCCUUUUAUAGAAUAAGGACUCCUCACUUAUUACAUAUUUGCCCCUUCCUUUAUCACAUAAUUACAUUUAAGUCCUCCGAGUAUUUGUACGAGAUCUAAAUACGAGACCCUAAAUAUGGUAUAAACAAAUCCAAAACAGUUUUUUUGCUCCAACUUUUUUAAUUAAAUUUUUAGCCCAAGAUUUCUAAAGAAUUAAUUUAGGAUAAUUUUUUUUCUUAAAGUAACUUUAAAAAAAAAUUAUGUAGAUUACCAUAAUUUAAUUUUAUGAACAUUUUAACUUGAAAAUAUUUGGAUUCGGAUAAAUAUUGAAAAGCCAAUAAACCGGCACCAUGAAACUUAUAUGACACUAUAAAAGAAUAUGAAACAUGUGAAAGAAAUUUUUUUCUUAAUUAUUUUAGUUGUAGGAUUUAAAUUUGGACCUUUAGAUAUAUAUAGCUAUUAUCAUUGAAUUUGAUCAUAUUAUAUUUUAGCCGCUAAAUUCAAUGAAUUUAUAAAUAAAUAAAUAAAUAAAAACACAUAUAUGGUGGCUAGCCCACUAUCUAGAAGGAGAAAUUUUGCCUAAAUUUGCCCUAAAAAUGAGUUUUGGAUUAAAACUCAUACUUGGUCCAAGGGUUGGAGCAAGUUAGAGUAAGUUUAAAAUCUAAAAUUUAAGUUUUACUCCAAAUAUUGGAGUAGGUCUUAGGAGCCGAAUUCUUUAUUUUAAGGAUUCAAUUUUGCAGAGUGUAGGGAGUUUGACGUAUAUUUUCAUUUCAAAAAUAUUAACAUACACUUGAAUAGGAGUGCAAUUUCCAUUCCUCGUAUUCAAUCAUGUACACGCGCCACGGAAAUAGCAAAUGACAUGCGCCAGAUUGAUUUGUUACACGGGCCCACCUAAUAAGCUCAAAUCUGUAUCCUCCGUCGCUGAAGGCCUGCAGAUUUUGCUGAGUUUGCAAACUUGUAAGUCGUGACGCAUAAGAAGUGGCUAAAAUCCAAAUAUAUUAUUAUCACCACUCAUGACCCAUUCAUCCUUCAACCGUAUUUGCAUAAGAUAAUUACUAUUAAAGAUACAAGGAAAAGUUUUAUUCGCAUUUUUUAGUAGUAAGCUUAGCUUCACAAUAACCUAUUAAUAAUACAGUUCAAAUUUACUUUUAGCGUGAAUCGAAUAUAAGAUUUCUCACUUACAAGUGAAAAUGAAUAUCACUAAACCGUAGUACUGACUUCAGUUCACAUUUAAAAAAACUUACCCAAAUUCCUUUAAAUGCACUAACCAGUCGUAUAGAAGUACAUAGAUGUGUAUUUGGAUACCAUAUUAUAUAAUAUAUUUGAAAUUUAGAUUUUGAGGCAACUAAUAUUAAUGUUGACCAUGAUAUACCAGUUGGUGGGUAAUGAAUAUAAUCUAUGUUUGAAAAAUUAAUUGGAACUUAACAAAUAUGGCAUUUCAAUAAUUUAAGUAUUUAUUUGGAAUGUUUAAAAAUGUUAAGACCAAUGAAAAAGUUAAAAAAUUCUAAAAAGUUAGAAAAUUAAUUUUUUUUUUAAAAACACCUCUUUAAAUGGGUUCGUAAGGGUAAAAUUAUAAUUUAACUUUAAAUAUUGACAAAUUUAAGCAUUAUUUAUUAUUUUUUUCGCGAGAAUGUGGUAGGUUAGGUGUACCGUGUACGUGUGUGCAUACGUGGGGACAAAACGAAGUUGUAUUUUCCUCAUAGAAAAAAACAAAUGUAUUUGUUUGAUUAUUUAUUUAUUUUUUAUUUCGUUGCGAGGACGGAGGAGGCGUUUUUACAUUUCCGACCUUCCAAAGAGAGAAGAGGCAGUUAGACUACUGGACUGGAAGCUGAGUUUCCAUUUCCUUCUCCAGAGCAGACUGAGCGAGCCGAACCAGUACCAAAACAACGUCGUCGAUUGUUUCUCGCACUUCUCACUUCCGCCAUUUUCCUCUCGAACUCCGCCUUUGGUUUUCCCAGCUGUUUCCUCCGAUUAUCGGUAAGUCCGCCGCAUGCACGCACGCACGCACUUGCAUUUACAUAUACGUAUUCGUAUACGGUUGGCUGCGUCUGUUUGUAGUUAUUGGAACUAAUUCGUGUUCCGAUUAUUCUGUGUGUAUGUGUAUUUGUGUGAUUAGGUACGUGUGGAUUUGUUUGGGAUUUUGUGAAAUGUGAACGAACUGGCGUAUGUGUGAAUUUAUGCAUGUUGUGCGAAGGUGCGAGUUUACGGAUUUUUGGUGGUUUUAGGGUUUAGAGCUAUUGAUUUUUAUGAAUUUAUGAGUUGAUUUGAUGUUAUUUUAUUUAUAGUAGAUUGGAUUUGUUUGGCCAGGUGUUUGUCGAAAAAUCGAGCGAGGAAUGAGAGUGUCAAUGUGAUGCUGAUUGCGGUUAUAGGCGUUUGAGUGUGGUUUUUUUAGGCUGCUGUUCGAAUAUGGAUUUUCUGUGUAGUUUUCAGCAGCCAAAUGUGUUAUAUGGCAGUGAAGGGGCUAGUUAUAAGAGGUUGAAUUGCUUUAGUAGUUCACCGAUUAUCUUUGGGAGUAAAGAUGUUAGUUGUAACUUUCUGGGUAAUUCGAGAAUUGUUGUGAAAGCAUGGUCAGGUAAGAAGUUGAAGAGAACUGUCUGUGUAAGUGGUUGUAGGAUUUCACGUUUGACCUAUAGAGAAAAAGCUGAUGAUCGUUUGUGGAAUUCGAAUCCGAAAGUGCCUUUAUCUUGUAACUUUGGUAGUGUUUUCAAAGGGUCAAGAACAGUUUGGUGGUCGCGGUGUCAGAGUAAUGACUCAUUAGCGUAUGUUAAUGGAAAUGGUCAGAAUGUGGAAUACCUAGAAGGUCAUGAUGAGAGCUCAGGAGUUGGGUCUGUUCAUGAUGCCGAGUUGAGUGAUUCCAGAGAAGAAGAUGGAUAUGAAGAACAAAAAGAAGAACCAGAGGCACCUACAUUGGAUGAAUUGAACGAAUUGCUGCAAAAUGCCAUGAAAGAGCUUGAAGCUGCACGACUUAAUAGUACCAUGUUUGAAGAAAAGGCUCAGAGAAUAUCAGAAGCCGCGAUAUGCCUACGGGAUGAAGCAGCAAAUGCUUGGAAUAAUGUUAACUCAACCCUUGAUACUGUCCAAGAGAUCGUUCAUGAAGAGACUAUUGCCAAAGAAGGCGUUCAGAAAGCAAAAAUGGCACUUUCAUUAGCAGAGGCAAGGCUUCGGGUGGCAGUGGAAUCUUUACAGGUUGCAAAAAGAGAGACCAAUUCUUCUGAAAUUUCACAAGAGAAUGAUGGGGAACAUGAUUGCAAAGAAGAAGAAAAAGCACUUUUGGUUGCCCAGGAAGAUAUUAAGGAAUGCCAGGCGAAUUUGGCCAACUGUGAGGCAGAGCUAAUGCACUUGCAUAGUAAAAAAGAGGAGUUGCAGAAGGAAAUGGACAGGUUGAAUGAGGUUGCAGAGAAAGCACAGCUCAGUGCUUUGAAAGCAGAAGAGGAUGUAACCAACAUAAUGCUUUUAGCAGAGCAAGCUGUUGCUUUUGAACUUGAAGCUGCAAAGCAUGUCAACGAUGCAGAAAUUGCAUUACAAAGAGCACAGAAAUCUAUCUCCAACUCAAUGGUUGACACCACAGAAAACAACCAAGGACAGGUGUUGAGUGAUGAUAAUCCUGCUCUUGAGGAAGGGGAGACGGUAGUCCUAGGAAGUUCUGCUGAUAUCAUUGUUGAAAGGGACAGAGAUGUGGUAAUUGAUGGUGAUUUGUUGGCUGUCAAGCCUUUGGCAGACAGCCCUUCUGACAAAAUCAGCCAGAGUUUUGAAGACGCAAGUCAAUUUGUUGAUUUGAGUGAUCAUGAGAAUGGAAAGUUAAGUUUGGAUUCUCUAAAAGACGCUGACGUAGAAGCUGAAAAGUCAAAGAAUGUGGUUCAAGCUAAAAAGCAGGAAACUCAGAAGGACUUGAGUAGGGAGAGUUCACCGUUAAAUUCUCCAAAGACAUUAUUGAAGAAAUCUUCUCGUUUCUUUUCUGCAUCUUUCUUCUCUUCUGCUGAUGGGACUCCGACAUCAGUUUUCCAAGGUCUGAUGGAGUAUGCAAGGAAGCAAUGGCCAAAGCUGGUUGUCGGGAUGUUCCUAUUUGGAGUAGGGUAUGUAGUGUUUUUUCUACUUGUUAUUUCGUUUAUUACUGUGCCUUGUUUUCCCCUCUUCAAUAGGGUUUUCUUUUAAAAAAAUUCCUGCUCUUAUAAUGGUUAUAUGGGGUGUGAGCCUUGUCUUGCUUUGACCUCAAGAUGUUGAAAUUGAUCACAGGCUCACCUUUUAUGCUAAUCGAGUGGAAAGGGCCACACAACUGUUACAACAGCCAGACGUCAUCACCACUAGUAUUGAAGAAGUUUCCUCAAGUGCGAAGCCUCUAGUUCGAGAAUUACAGAAACUUCCUAGAAGAAUUAAAAAACUAAUUGAUAUGAUUCCUCAUCAAGAGGUAUGUUGCCUAACAAAAUUUUUAUUUUGGUCUAACGUCUAUCAUAAUUUCAACUUUCUGAUCUGUUCUAUCUUUUUCUCAGGUGAAUGAGGAGGAAGCUUCUCUUUUUGACAUGUUAUGGUUAUUGUUAGCAAGUGUGAUAUUUGUGCCUGUAUUUCAAAGAAUUCCUGGAGGUAACUGAAUCUCUAUAGCUUUAAUUUCUAUUUCACACUUGUUUGGUUUUUUUUUUGUCAUUUCAAAUGUAGGCGAGUAGUAUUUUCUAGUUGGUUUUGGUUAUAGAGUUGCAUUACUUUUUAAGCUUUAGAAUAUAAACCAUAAAGUUCGGAGUUCCACCAACCAAACACUGAACUUUUAAUGUGUGGAUUAGCUAUAUGUCUUUCUACUGUUUUAUUUAUUUAUUUUUCACUUCCUUGUCAUAUGCCUUUCACUUUCUUGUCAUAUACCUUUUUAUAAUCUAGACUUACACUUAGCCAACCUCUGUACUGCAGCACCCUACCCUAUUACACUUUCUUGAACUUAGCUAAAGUUUCAUUAAGAGGGUAAUUCUAUGGAUUUGAUCACAAGUUGACAAAAUACGUUUUGGUUCUUUUCCACAUCACACCAUCAUAUCAUAACUGCCUGGGCUUAUAACGCCAUUUCACUGAUGGGUAUCAUCUGUCUUUUGCUAUCUUUAGGCAGUCCUGUUCUUGGGUAUUUAGCUGCUGGCAUCUUGAUUGGGCCUUAUGGCCUCUCUAUUAUUCGUCAUGUACAUGGGACAAAGGCAAUUGCUGAAUUUGGGGUUGUUUUCUUGCUGUUCAACAUUGGCCUCGAGGUGGAGUGGACAAAUUGGACAUAUUGCUAUUUCAAUUUGUUAAAAAAAAUAAAAAUUAUGCUUAAUUUGAAUUACAAUGAGGAAAAUUAACAAUACUCUGGUUUGCAUUUUUUAGCUUUCUGUUGAAAGGUUGAGUUCAAUGAAGAAAUAUGUAUUUGGAUUAGGCUCUGCUCAGGUGAGUUACUCAUAUUCGUUUCGGCCUGGCCAUUAGUAAGAUUUUCUGUAUUGGUAGUGAGAAAAAAGUUUUCUAUCAGUUUGUUAAUAUGCAUAACCAAUGCAGGUUUUGGUGACAGCUGUUGUGGUUGGUGUGGUUGCUCAUUAUGUUUGUGGGCUGCCUGGACCUGCUGCAAUAGUAAUUGGCAAUGGUCUGGCUUUAUCAUCCACUGCAGUUGUUCUGCAGGUAAUGUUUUGCUUUAUUUAUUUUCUCAUUCAAAAUGUAAGUAUAUGGGUAGAUAGAUGAAGAAAUACAAUAUUGAGUAUCUGGAUAUGUUCAAUACAGAUAUAUUAAGUUACUAAGGGGUUUUUGGACCUUAUAAUAAAUACAAAAUUCAUGAUGACUAUGAUGAAGUGGGUAACUACUGUGGAAAUUUUCCUUCUUUGAGAAAAAAAAAAAAAAAAAGCCUUGUUCUCUUGGAAAGGGGUCUGGGGUGUGAAUAUUCCAGUAAAAGCAGCCUUCUUCAUGUGAGAAAUGAGAAGCAGCUCACCAUGACAGUUUAAUUAUUGAUAGUUUGUGGGUUAGAGGCAGAAUAUUGGUGAGUAGGUAUUGUUUGUAUCAAACACAGCAGGCCAGCACAAAAAAUGAUUUAAUUCUUCUGCAUUGUUCAGUGGCUUCAAAAUACUGGUUUUUAUCCUAUAUUCGUUUAGUAUUUCUUGUAGUUCAGUUUCUGGUUCUCUAUUGGGUUGACAUGUUCAGUUCGUUAAAAGCACAAUAGAGCAGUGUGUAUAUUGUUCAUCAUGUGUGAAUUCUGGUGUGGUGUUCAGUGGUACAUAAGAGCUAUGACCAAGAAGGGUAAAAGAAUAGCAAAGAAACAACACUAACAAAGUUUAGACACAUAAAUUUUGAAGGUCUAGCUGCCAUAUUAUUACCCAGAAGGGUAAAGGAACAGGACCAUUGCUGGAUAAUUGGAAAGUCCCUGUGGGUCAACCUCUGUGCUCCGUGGCAAGGUAGACUAGCAAACAGGCCUAACCUUUACUCACAUUCGAGAAAACACUCCAAACAAGAUUGCUUGCUUUAAGAUCGAAGAGGCACCGUCCUCCGAAUCUCGAGAGCCAGACUCCCAAAAUGAUUACUUUCUCAAAAAGCGACGAGACACCGCUCUCCGAAUCUCGAGAGCCAGACUCCUAGCAGGAUUGCUUUCUCAAAAAUCGAAGAGGCACCGUUCUCCGAAUCUCGAGAGACAGAUCCCUGACAGGAUUGCUUGUUCGAAAACCGAAGAGGCACCGCUUUCUCAACUUCGAGAGCCCCUUAGAUAAAGCUUGUCUGUAAUCCUCACACCGCUUUCUCAACUUCGAGAGCCAGAUCUCCUUGGAUAAAGCUUAUCUGUAAUCUUCACACGUAACAUCAGCUUUCCAGAUACCACAGACCACUUUUUCAAAGUGCUCUGACAGAGUUAAAACACGUGAAGUUGGCAGCUCCCACUACCGUGCUAUGACCAAGCAGGGUAAAAGAAUAGUAUUACUCCUUGUUAGGGAGACUCCUAUAUAUGUCGACCUCCAUCCUCAACGGACAGGCAGACCUGCAAAAAUGCUCAACCCUUCCUCAUAUUUGAGAGGGCACUCCCAACGAAGCCUCUCGAAAUACUCAGCUUUCUUUCCCCCCGAGAAUACCUCUGCAAACAAGCUACACUAGAGCAAGAAUAUCUCAUAUCAUCAGGGUUAAAAGCAAGAGUAUCCCAUAUCAUGCUUUUUCCCUGUCUUUUCCUUUGGCCUUGUUCUUACCUGCAAGACAAGGAGAAAGAGAGCAAUCAGUUAGCACUUGGAAUCAAGCUUCCAGUCCGGAACUGACUGCCUGGAACCCCAUUGCUCUCGAGUACUCAUCUUCAACAUCUUAUGCUUCCCGAGAAGAUACCACAUCUGCCUGAUGAACAAAUAGGGCAAGUGAGAAGGAUACAAGGAAGCAUGUGGAGACAAGUGCAACCACGUGCCGAUACAUCCACUACUUUGUCAACAGCAAAAGUAUCCCAUAUCAGCAGGGUCGAACGUACUCUAGAUUUGAUGGACUUGUUUUGACCCUCAAAUUCUUCAGUCGGCCUUAUACUCUGGCGGAAACAAGAAAACCCUCCAGCCCAGUUCAAGAAUAAGCCUGUGGAAAGUUACUUCUUCAAAAGCAAAAGUAUCUCAUAUCACCUUUUCUCCUUUUCUUCUCUUUAUCCUUCAUGCUACCUGCAAGAUAAGGAGAAGGAUAACAAUCAGCCGGAACUCGAAAUCAAACUUCUGAUCUGGGACUGAUUGCUUGGAACUCUGAUUGCAUACCUUGUCUGUCACCUCUUUCAGCAGAUCCCCUAGCUUGGCGACUUGGUUCGAAGAUGUGACCACGGGACAGAGGUUCAGGGCCGAAGGGGUAGAGGAAGACCUAGGAAAACUUUGGAAGAGACCCUAAGAAAAGACUUAGAGUACUUGGAUCUAACGGAGGGCAUGACACAAAACCGAGCGCAAUGGCGUUCUAGGAUUCAUAUAGCCGACCCCACUUAGUGGGAAAAGGCUUUG
rnacentral:lncRNA from 1 species